CCUUUGACCCCGGCCAAAGAGAGAGACUGAUAGAGAGAGCAUGGUAUGAAGUAACGGUAGAUGAUGUGUGCGUGUUUUAAUUUGAGUGAGAAAACAGUGAGGAGCCCAGGCAAAUCUGUGUGGUUUGGCUGAGUGUGUGUGUGUGUGUGUGUGUGUGUGUGUGUGUGUGUGUGUGUGUGUGUGUGUGUCAGUCCAGUCACUGAGUGUUCACGAGUCUGAAGGCCUGGGGGAAGAAACUGUUUCGCAGUCUGGCAGUGAGGGCCGAAUGCUCCGGUGCCUCUUGCCAGAAGGCUGCAGGGUGAAGGGUGUGUGUGAGGGGUGUGUGGGGUCUUCCACACUGCUGGUGGCUUUGCAGAUGGAGCGGGUGAUGUAAGUGUCUGUUAUGGAGGGAAGAGAGGCAAGGUUUGAUCCCUCGAAGUGAUUUAUGGGAGUUUUUUAAAUAUAAGAACACUGCAGAACGCAGAAUCAAAACACCAUUGUACAGUUUAGAGUCCUACUUAUUCCCGCUACUUGACAUCAAGAUUUCAUUCUACUUUCAGUUUGCGCUAGGUCUUCCACAUCGCUGCAGACAUCACAGAGUCAGUCCUCCGCUCCCUCACUCGCACACAAAACCCCUGAGGUACUUGAACUCUUCAACUUGAGGCAGCAACUCUGAGUCUUAUCUUUCUCUUGCUUAAUACCAUGGCCUCUGUAUUCAAGGUACGAAUUUUAAUUGCAACCACUUCACAAGAACCCUGAGAGCCAAAGAAAAUAAAAGCGAUCAUCCAGUGUCUUUUUUUUUUUAUUUGUAUGACUGAUGUCUGUAACUAAUGUGAUAUUUUAGGCUAUUUGUGCUAAAAACAAUAGCAGUACAAUGUAGUUUUGUAUACAUAUAAUUGCAGGGUUAAAGGUUUAAAACAAGCUUAGAAAUGAAGUAUUGGUCCGUUUUUAUACAAACUGUGUAAAAUGACACAGAAUACGACAUAAAUGCCCCCAAAAUUAUUCUUUUUCAGCUCCUAACUUUAGAGAAGCUUCUGGAUUUCUAAGUUUUAUAAACCUGGAUUGUUGUUUCUGUUUGGAGAUGUUCUUUUGUUUCUUUAAGUUAACUCUUUUGCUGACCUCUCCGCUCCUGCUUUAUCUCUGGUUAAUUAUGUUUUUGUUGCAUACGCAAGUGUUUUUAUUUUUUAUUUAAUGUUUUUCGGGGUUUUUUGGUUUGUUUGUUUUCGGUCUGCAGAGAAACAAAGUUCAUUCUUUUUUUCCCCUAGUUUAUUAUUGCAGGUUGGAAGUUUCUGCUGCCAUCUGCAGACUUUCAGUGGCAGUACCAGUUUUUCUGCUUCCAAAAAUAAAAUAAAAUAAAAUAAAAUUAAAGAGUGUAUGUAGAGGAGAUGUGUCAGGAUUUACGAGGUGAAUCAAGUUCUGACUCAUUUUAAUUGCCACUAAACCAUUUUUAUUUUCUACAAUAAUGAACACAACAAAACACACCUUCAAGCUUUGACGCAUCCAAUACAAUAAUUAAACAAAAUUAACACAAUUCGGUGGGAUGAAUAUAUUAUUUAAAUGUAUGAUCAUAAUAAUAUGUGACCAGACUAGAAUGACCAAUAACACUUCAACAUGAAUCAUGACUGAAACAUUACUUUCAGCACUAUAUGAGCUGCCUGGUUAUUCUGGCCUCUCUGGAAGGACUGAGGCUGUUACCGUCCUGGAGGUUUGUGUACGCCAGAGAGAUUUCCUUCCUCAUGUCUUCGAUGCUUGUGCCAAAAACUGAUGUCCAGUGUUUCUGUGUGCUUUUUAUGUGUAAAGCCUUUAAUUAUAUUGGUAGGUAGACUUCAGUGAACAGGAUUUACAAAAGGGUUAUAUUAAAAAUUUCAAAAUGACCCUUUAUUAAGGUAUCUUAAUGACUCUUUAUGACUCUCCACUUAAAAUAUCUUUAUAAAAACUAUUGUUAUAUUUGUUGCACUGCUGCUCUCUUGGCCACUUCACUCAUAAAAAAGCCAUUUUUUUUGUCAAAGAAAUGACAAAUAACAAAAUAAAUGAAAGAUAUAUAAAAGUCACUUUGCCAAUAAACUGACUGGAGCUUCUCCCUUGUGACAGGAAUGUUGUUUGUGACUCAAGAUGAUUUGAUAUCAUUAAUGAGAAUUACAUUAAACAUAUAUUUCAAACAUUAUAGGUCAACAAAUUAUUUUUAGCAGUUUAAAUACAGGCAAUCACUUUUUGGCACAACACCCAGGACAAACCUUUGUCUUUUUCCUGUUCUUUCAUGUCUUCAUACAAGUUGCUGGUGUUGUCACAGUAGAGAGUUUCCUCCCAGCACGCUUACAGCUGUUAAGCAGCUCUACAUGUCGCUCCUCUUCCUCACUCACUGCAGGCUGCAUGACUCUGCUCAGUGAAGCUGAGUCACGUAACCAGACAACUAACCAUAGCAGAGCAGGCAGGAGGGGGCGGAGCAAUGUGUGCCUGCAUGAGAGGAGUUGUGUUUACACAGACAUGUCUACUUUCUGAUGAAAUGGAAGCAACUUACUGAACUUAUAGGACAGAAACAAAGUAAAGCACUGAUGCUGUCACACUAUUAACAAUCAGAUGACAAUACCAGCUUUGGGAUCGAUACCACUGAUAUUUUUUUUGCCGAUCCACCCACCCCCCAUCUCUCAGACGGAUUUUCAACUAUUUUUUUCUGACAUCUCAGAACAAAUAAGUACUUUAUAGCAAAUAUUUUAUAUUUUCCCCAUGACAGCAGGCCGGUUUUAUUAGAUUAGCCAAUAGUUUUAGUGGUAAGGAACAUCUACAGUCAAACUGUAGCUCACAAACAUAAAUGAUUUUGAGACUUGUCGUGGUUGAAAGCACCUCCACUUACUGCCCCAGUAGAUACAACCACUGCAACAGUUAAUGCUGUUAGGGCUGCUGUUAGGGCUGCUGUGGUGACAGACACUUUAUGAAUACUGAGGAGUUCUGGGUGACAGCAGAUAUUUUUUUAUUUUUUUUAAGCUUUUUACUGGUUUACGUUAUUCCGACUGCCCACUUUUACGGUUGUAUGCUGAUCUAAAGUGUGUGCUAAUGUACAGUUGAGCCCUGAAAUUAAUGGGAGGUUACGGUCCAAGAGCACCCGUAAAUUUUGAAAAACCUUGAAUUUUGGAUGUGGUGAAACAAAAUUGCCUAUAAAUUAUUUUUAUGGUUUAAACCCUGAAUAUAUCUCUGGGGAUGCAGGAUUUUAGGAAGAACAAAAUGAAAAACACUCGAGAUAGCUACACCUAUGAUGUGGGAACGCUGGACUGCAUCUGCUGGAGAUGCAAUUAGGAGAGAUGAAUAACGCUCUGGGACUGGCUACUUUCAAACCCCCGUCUCUGAGUACAUUGCCAUUUCAACACUCCAAGCUGCAUUUUCCUCUAAAGCAACUGCGGAGAAUAUUUGUGGUUUCUAAGAAGAAAUCUGGGAACAUCUGUUUACAAUGGUUGUUGGCUUGAUAUUAGCUCACUUUUAAAACAAUUUGAUUAAUACAAAGUUCACCCUGAAACACAAUUAGGAAACAAGAUUAAAACUCAACGCAACUUUAAAAAAGUAGCCAAAGACUUUUAAGAUGGCCAAAAUCAUACUAAACUAAUUUUAAGAUUUCUGAUUAUCAGUAUUAAUGUGUUAAAAGAGAAAAGAAACAAACCAAGAAUUCAAAUAGGUAGGUUUUUCCCCCUUUUUAUUUAAAGCAGACUGGUUUACACGACUAACAUUUUACUGUACCAAAUUCUUUUCAGAACUUUGUGAUUUUUUAAUUUUUAUUUUAUAAGUAGGUCGGUAACUUGGGUCUUGAUGCCCAAACAAAUAACAAUUUAGUAGAACUGUUGAUCACCAGACUACAUGUUUGCUGUAAGUUACAAAAGGAUCUAAGAACCACGUGUUUUAGCACAAAAAUAUAAUAAAAAGAAGAAAAAUCCACAA